GGCUUCAUGGUUCAGUGGUAAGGACACUUGUCUCUCAACCUGGAGUUCCGGGUUCGAUCCCCUGAAGGUACCA